UCCCUAGCUUCUAGCUUGCCCUGAGAGAGUUGUGAAGCAGGCUUCUGGAAUGCUGCUGGCCCUCCAGCUUGUACUGACACAGGCAUGCAUAGUCUUCCAAAAAUUCAAUUAUAUAAAGCUUCUGGACAAACCAACCAAACCAAGCAUGCACAUAGAUCUACGUGCGGUACAAACACACAAGCUGUGUUCGUUCAAAAGGAAAGAUUGUUCUACCUACGGAGGAAUGAUGAGUAAGGAGGCGCUUCUGUGUGACUCAGUGACCAGGACAAUAUGGUGAGUCCAGGAAGAGAGAGAAGAUAAAGGAGGCCGGAGCAUGUGUGAUUAGCUGGUUUAACCGGGUGAAACCAGCAAAGGCAUGAAAAAGUCUUGUCAGAGAAUAUGUAUUUGGCAAAUAAAUAUGGGCAUGCGUUUAA